rnacentral:lncRNA from 1 species
ACAUCAAACACAUCCCUUCUUCUUUUUAUUUUGUUAUAGCUGUUGUCUCCUGCUCUGGGUCACAUGAAGAAAACUCUUCUUCACCAAAUCCAACUCAGAAGCUCUCCCUGAUUAAAAAUAGGAUGGUUUCAUUGCAUCAGCCUUCUAAACCAGAAGUCUCCUGUGUCAUCGGCUCAAGCUGCUCGUGGGUGACGUCCACAGACGCUUUUGGGAAACCAGACUGGGUGUUAUCUUCCAUUGGUGUCCUGGCAGCCCAGGAGAGGCAGCAGAUGCUUCUGGAAAACAGUUCCUCCUGCAAAGAUGUUGAAGGUAGGCAGAGCUCCGGUUGCCGUCGAAUGGACACCUGCUUUAGCCCAGCUCCGGCUGCAGCAGGAGUCAGCCUCAGGCCCUUGUCACUGAAAGUUCCACCAUGUGCUGGCUCUGGUGCAGAGCUCCCAAAGGCACAGCCAGUGCCCAAGAGCCAGUAGGAACCAUGUAAUUCACGUGAGCUGCCUUGGUUGUCUAUGGAGGUACCCUCUGAACAGCAGGCCCCCUUAUAUAUUCAUUUUCUAUCUCCCCAAUUUGGGAUAAGCUACUUUUACUUACACAGACUGGAUUUUUCUUCGGAAUUUCAAUCCUAUACAAGCCAGAGCUGGCUCCACUUGUCUGCUGUCUGACUGGCAAAGUCUUUGGCUUUUGUUUUGUUGGACAUAUCUUCAUGCUUUUUUUGGUUUCUUCUCUUCUUGUUUCUUCUAUAACUUCUUUACUUAAACCCUUAUAUUUUACUUUAUUCUCUCACUACUUUUCUUUUUUUUUCUUUUUUGCAUAGUUCUUCCUUUAUUUUCCUUUAUUCCUUGCUUUGAACUCCUUAUCCAUUUUCCUCUUAUUAUCUCUCUUCCAUCUGUGCCGUGUGUCUCUUGUUUUGUUGUGUUUUUUUUUCUCUUCACAGGGGACAUUUUCCUCCUGAGCACCAGUAGACUCCCAGAUAGAUGUGAGUUCAGCCUGCAAAGCCCCAUCCUACCUGGGAGCUUGGAUUCUUGCUUUCUGGAACUGGCCAUAUGUUCACAGGAUGCUGUUCCUCUCCUCCAGAGAUUCACAGUUGAAAUUAAAUACGUGGAGACAGACAAAAAUACAAUAACUUCUCUGAGAGCUGGCCAUGAGGAGAAUUCCAGGUAAGACAAUCAAUUUUCAACUGUUAAGCCUUUGAAUUGCAAGGUAGAGUGGA